rnacentral:rRNA from 1 species
AAAACUAGCGAGUCUUUUGGGUAUGAAACCCAUUUGGGCGAGAGUAGUAUUAGGAUGGGUGACCUCCUGGGAAGUCCUCGUGAAAGGGUUUC